rnacentral:snRNA from 1 species
GGAAGUGAGGCUGAUAUGGCUGCAACAUCUGAUACCCUAUUAAUCUCCAGUGUUCAAUAAGAUGAUCUGGGAUGUUGUCCUUGUUCUCCCUCCCAGCUCGUGGGUGUCAUUCCUGAAGCUGCCACUGGGGAGAAGAGUAUGGCCUUCUGUAAACAGAAGAGGCCUUGUCCCUAGGUCAAGGAAGUAAGACCAGCUGUGUUCCCCUGCUAGAACUUCCUAAUAAACUCACAAAAGAAUAUGAAACACGCCCAGGCGCUAGUGGUGCACGCCUUUAAUCCCAACACUCGGGAGGCAGAGGCAGGUGGAUCUCUGUGAG